CCACAUUUUGCUUUGUUGCUCCCUAACAUUUUUGAAUAUCUGACAUUUUGUUCGCUAAUACAACAAACUUAUCAAUUCUUCUGCCACUCUUUCGUUUUCCCAUUUACAUCACUUUAAUAAAUAUGAUCAAUAUCACAACAGAAUUUCUCCGUCACUUUUCAAAAGACUCUGAUUAACAUCCCUCAAGGGCUCUGGGUAAUCAGCCUUAAAGGACACCUGUCACCUUAACGUUACGUGCAC